rnacentral:rRNA from 1 species
GACGAACGCUGGCGGCGUGCUUAACACAUGCAAGUCGAACGGAAAGGCCCUGCUUUUGUGGGGUGCUCGAGUGGCGAACGGGUGAGUAACACGUGAGUAACCUGCCCUUGACUUUGGGAUAACUUCAGGAAACUGGGGCCAAUACCGGAUAGGAGCUCCUGCUGCAUGGUGGGGGUUGGAAAGUUUCGGCGGUUGGGGAUGGACUCGCGGCUUAUCAGCUUGUUGGUGGGGUAGUGGCUUACCCAGGCUUUGACGGGUAGCCGGCCUGAGAGGGUGACCGGCCACAUGGGGACUGAGAUACGGCCCAGACUCCUACGGGAGGCAGCAGUGGGGAAUAUGGCACAAUGGGCGGAAGCCUGAUGCAGCAACGCCGCGUUCGGGAUGACGGCCUUCGGGUUGUAAACCGCUUUCGCCUGUGACGAAGCGUGAGUGACGGUAAUGGGUAAAGAAGCACCGGCUAACUACGUG